rnacentral:pre_miRNA from 1 species
UAUGCACCCCCUCCGUCCGAAAAUACUUGUCAUAAGAAUGGAUGUAUCUAGAUGUAUUUUAGUUCUAGAUACAUUCAUUUGUAUCCAUCAAUGCGACAAAUAUUUGCGGACGGAGGGAGUAGUUG